AACCAGGAGGUUGGCUUAGAAGCAGCCAUCCUUUAAAGAAAGCGUAAUAGCUCACUGGUCAAGCGGCUCUGGGCCGACAAUGUAACGGGGCUCAAGCACAGUACCGAAGCCGUAGAUUCAGCGGCCCCUUCGGGGGCCGUGAGUGGUAGAGGAGCGUUCUCUGGGCAGUGAAGGCGGAUCGUGAGAACCGCUGGAGCGCAGAGAAGUGACCCUGCCGGCAUAAGUAGCGAUAAGAGUGGUGAGAAUCCACUCCGCCGAAAGCCUAAGGUUUCCUGAGGAAGGUUCGUCCGCUCAGGGUCAGUCGGGUCCUAACGCGAGGCCGAAAGGCGUAGCGGAUGGAUAUCCGGUCAACAUUCCGGAACUACCUGGAUGGCGUUAUCACGAUGGGGGGACGCAGGAGGUCAGCCCAGCCUACGACUGGAAGUGUAGGUUCAGGCAUGUAGGGGGAACCGUCAGGCAAAUCCGGCGGUUCACAUUCCCUGAGGUGCCAUGGCGAGGCCGCAAGGCCGUAAAGUGGGUCAUGCCACGCUGCCAAGAAAAGCCUCUAAGGAGUCAUCCGGGUACCCGUACCGCAAACCGACACAGGUAGGCAGGGAGAACAUCCCAAGGCGCGAGUGAGAACCCUCGUUUAGGAACUCGGCAAACUCGCCCCGUACCUUCGGAAGAAGGGGUGCUCCUUCUCGUGAUCCGGCUCGCCCGGUGAGCGAAGAGGAGUUGCAAUAAAGAGGCUCAGGCGACUGUUUACUAAAAACACAGGACUCUGCCAAGUCGAACAACGACGUAUAGGGUCUGACGCCUGCCCGGUGCUGGAAGGUUAAAGGGAGGGGUUAGUCGCAAGGCGAAGCUCUGAACUGAAGCCCCAGUAAACGGCGGCCGUAACUAUAACGGUCCUGAGGUAGCGAAAUUCCUUGUCGGGUAAGUUCCGACCUGCACGAAUGGCGCAACGAUCUGAGCGCUGUCUCAACGAGGGACACUGCGAAUUUGUGGUACCGGUGAAGACGCCGGUUGCCCGUGGCAAGACGGAAAGACCCCGUGCACCUUUACUACAACUUAGUAGUGAGUGCUGGCGUGUCAUGCGCAGGAUAGGUGGGAGACUUUGAACCGGGCCUUUUGGGGUCCGGGGAGUCGUCGGUGAGAUACCACCCUUGGCUCGUCGGUGUUCUAACCUCGGCCUGUCAUCCAGGUCAGGGACACUGCUAGGCGGGUAGUUUGACUGGGGCGGUCGCCUCCCAAAAUGUAACGGAGGCGCGCGAAGGUUCGCUCAGGCUGUUUGGAAAUCAGCCGGAGAGUGCAAAGGCAUAAGCGAGCUUGACUGCGAGACCUACAAGUCGAGCAGGUGGGAAACCAGGCCUUAGUGAUCCUGUGGCUCCGCAUGGAAGGGCCAUAGCUCAACGGAUAAAAGGUACGCCGGGGAUAACAGGCUUAUCUUGGCCAAGAGUUCACAUCGACGCCAAGGUUUGGCACCUCGAUGUCGGCUCAUCGCAUCCUGGAGCUGUAGCAGGUUCCAAGGGUUCGGCUGUUCGCCGAUUAAAGCGGUACGUGAGCUGGGUUUAGAACGUCGCGAGACAGUUCGGUCCCUAUCUGCCAUGGGCGUAGGAGAUUUGAGGGGGGCUGUCCUUAGUACGAGAGGACCGGGAUGGACGGACCUCUAGUGUACCAGUUGUCGCGCCAGCGGCAGUGCUGGGUAGCUACGUCCGGAAGGGAGAAACGCUGAAAGCAUCUAAGCGUGAAACCCUCCCCAAGAUGAGAUCUCCCUGGACCUUCGGGUCCCUGAAGGCUCCUGGAAGACCACCAGGUAAUAGGCCAGAUGUGUAAGGCCCGCGAGGGCUUGAGCUAACUGGUACUAAUCAGCCGUGAGGCUUGACCAU
rnacentral:rRNA from 1 species